rnacentral:rRNA from 1 species
GUGUCAGCAGCCGCGGUAAUACGGAGGGUACAAGCAUUAAUCGGAAUUACUGGGCGUAAAGGGCGCGUAGGCGGGAGAGGAAGUCAGAUUUGAAAUACCGGGGCUCAACUUCGGUGCUGGAUCUGAGACUCCUUUUCUGGAGGGUCAGCGGAGAAAAUGGAAUUCCACGUGUAGCGGUGAAAUGCGUAGAUAUGUGGAGGAACACCUGUGGCGAAAGCGGUUUUCUAGCUGAUUUCUGACGCUGAGGCGCGAAAGCAAGGGGAGCAAACAGGAUUAGAUACCCUGGUAGUCCUUGCCUUAAACGAUGUGCACUAGACGGAGUGGGAAUCAACCCCCAUUGUGUCGUAGCUAACGCGUUAAGUGCACCGCCUGGGGAGUACGCUCGCAAGGGUGAA